rnacentral:lncRNA from 1 species
ACAUAUUUAACUUUUAAGGACAUUCUCAUUCAGAAUCUUAAACAUGUUGUUUUCAUUUUUUUUUGUUUUUAAAGAUUAUAAAUAAUAUUUCAUGAAAUGGCAAAUACUUAAAUAGAGUUUAAUUGAACUGAAUACCUAAGAAUCAGAGUAUUAUUUAAUCACAUGGUUGUAUAGUUGUAAAAAGCCACUUCACAGUUAUUGCAAAUAUAUUGAAUGAGGGGCAGAUUUUUUGGAUGGAAGUGGAAAAAGUAAGAAAAUAGGGGAAAACCUAUGCAUGUUUCCGAGCAAAUGUUCAGUUUUAUUAAAGUUUUCGAAUGUUUCAAAGCAUUUUCACCAUCAUUAUGAAAAUCUGUCCCCUAUCCAAUA